rnacentral:rRNA from 1 species
GAAGCUGGAUUCGCUAGUAAUCGCGCAUCAGCCACGGCGCGGUGAAUACGUUCCCGGGCCUUGUACACACCGCCCGUCAAGCCAUGGAAGCCGGGGGUGCCUGAAGUGCGCUGCCGCAAGGAGCGCCCUAGGGUAAAACCGGUGACUGGGGCUAAGUCGUAACAAGGUACC